UGUGUGCACCAUCACGCCCGGCAACAUAUCAUAAUUCUUUUUUUGUUCCCUUCUCCAUAUUUUCACUCAUUCAUCACGAGUGAUAAAGUAAGUAGACAGCUAGAGGGGAAGCAACAAGUCCCUCCUGUGGAAGGCGUCACACACUUCCCUACAGCCUCGGCUUCCAAGGUGCAGCAAAGCUCCCUGCUUCUCAUGUGUGGGCUGCACAUGGUGACUUCCUUCCACGGACUACAAAGAGAGAGGGGCAAAGAGGCACUUCACAGCAGGAUAACCUGACAAACGCCGCCUCAGCCAGGUAACCAGGGUGAGGUGAGCAACUUUGCUCCACCUGGCCCUUCUGCCAUGAUGCUUCUGUGUUGGAGCCAGCCAACCAUGGACUGAACCUUUCGAACCGUGAGCUAAGUUAACCCUGUCCUCUCCUAUGUUGUGGGUAUCAGGUAUUGUGUCCCAGCAGUGGGAAAGCUAACUACCCCAAUACCUAACUAGUCUUCCUCAGAACUUUCAAGAUCAUCGAAAGCAAGCAAAAGCCAUACAACUAGGACAGCCAGGAGAAGCCUAAGGAGGCACAGUUGAAUAUAACAUGCUUUCCUGGAAGGGGUCCUGGAGACCCCUGGAUUGGAGAAAUCAGAAAAAGGACAGGUUUUAAUUCACAGUAAGGCAUCAGCCCAGAACGUACAUCUGAAGGCUACCGAUUGGUCACUGGGAAGCCGGUGCCAGCGCAGAUCAGAAAUCCGGGACGCGACGGCCACCAGGGGAACAGCGGUUGGCAGCCCCUCUGCCUCUGACACAGGCAGCCUGCCCUGCUGUGCCGCUCUUCAUCCCGAAAGUGUCUAUCCUGGAAGACUGUAACCCUUUGGAGAGCAGAGUGCUUCCUCCUGAUUGUAACGGAAACCAGCUGAGGACAGAAACUUCACAAUGCAUAGGAGAAAAGUGCAUUUUCAUUAUUAAUAUCCACUUGUAAUUAUAUUAAGGUGAAAAAAGUAUGAUUUAGAGAUUUUUAAAUUUCAU